rnacentral:rRNA from 1 species
UGGGGAAGUAAUUGCACAAUGGGGGAAACCCGUGAUGCAGCAACGCCGCGUGAGUGAUGAAGGUUUUCGGAUCGUAAAGCUCUGUCUUUGGGGAAGAUAAUGACGGUACCCAAGGAGGAAGCCACGGCUAACUACGUGCCAG